GCAAAUCGUCUAAGGCUGGGUAUUACCCGCACAGUUAGACAGAAAGGGCGAGUUUUUGAAAACUCAGUGUGUAAUCCCUUAAAAAUACAAACCGUCAGUUAUACGUUAUGCAGAAAUAGACUAGUCCUGAGCCCAGCACAGAAACAGUAUCAGGUGGACCUUAGCCCAUUAAUGGAAUUAGGUGGGCCUAAGCCAAAUACAGAAUUAGUAUCAGAUGUAGAUAUGCAGACAGAUUCCCAGCCCAGUCCAACCAACACACCGUCCGUACCAACCAACACACCAUGUAGGGAUAAAAUCGACCCACC
rnacentral:lncRNA from 1 species